GGGUAAGCCUUAACCGACGAAGGAACGGACGGCCUUCGACCGACGGUGUGGCCGAUGACUGGGGUG
rnacentral:rRNA from 1 species